ACUACGGGUGGCAGCAGUGGGGAAUAUUGCGCAAUGGGCGAAAGCCUGACGCAGCGACGCCGCGUGAGGGAUGAAGGUCUUCGGAUCGUAAACCUCUGUCAGCAGGGAAGAACGGUCACUGUGCUAAUCAGCAGUGAAUUGACGGUACCUGCAAAGGAAGCACCGGCUAACUCCGUGCCAGCAGCCGCGGUAAUACGGAGGGUGCGAGCGUUAAUCGGAAUUACUGGGCGGAAAGCGCUCGUAGGCGGUAUGGCAAGUCAAGGGUGAAAUCCCCGGGCUCAACGGGGGAACUGCAUUUGAGACUGGCAAACUGGAGUGUGUGAGAGGAUAGUGGAAUUCCAGGUGGAGGAGUGAAAUCCGUAGAUAUCUGGAGGAACAUCAGUGGCGAAGGCGACUAUCUGGCACAUAACUGACGCUGAGGAGCGAAAGCGUGGGUAGCAAACAGGAUUAGAUACCCCUGUAGUC
rnacentral:rRNA from 1 species